UACGGAGGGUGCAAGCGUUAUCCGGAUUCACUGGGUUUAAAGGGUGCGUAGGCGGGCGUUUAAGUCAGUGGCGAAAUACCUGAGCUUAACUUGGGAACUGCCAUUGAUACUAUUUGUCUUGAAUGUCGUGGAGGUUAGCGGAAUAUGUCAUGUAGCGGUGAAAUGCUUAGAUAUGACAUAGAACACCUAUUGCGAAGGCAGCUAACUACGCGAAUAUUGACGCUGAGGCACGAAAGCGUGGGGAUCAAACAGG
rnacentral:rRNA from 1 species